rnacentral:rRNA from 1 species
GGAUAACCUACCCUUAGGACUGGGAUAACCCUGGGAAACUGGGGAUAAUACUGGAUAGGCAAUUAUUCCUGUAAUGGUUUUUUGUUUAAAUGUUUUUUCGCCUAAGGAUGGGUCUGCGGCCGAUUAGGUAGUUGGUUAGGUAAUGGCUUACCAAGCCUUUGAUCGGUACGGGUUGUGAGAGCAAGAGCUCGGAGAUGGAACCUGAGACAAGGUUCCAGGCCCUACGGGGUGCAGCAGGCGCGAAACCUCCGCAAUGUGAGAAAUCGCGACGGGGGGAUCCCAAGUGCUAUUCUUAACGGGAUGGCUUUUCAUUAGUGUAAAGAGCUUUUGGAAUAAGAGCUGGGCAAGACCGGUGCCAGCCGCCGCGGUAACACCGGCAGCUCUAGUGGUAGCAGUUUUUAUUGGGCCUAAAGCGUCCGUAGCCGGUUUAAUAAGUCUCUGGUGAAAUCCUGCAGCUUAACUGUGGGAAUUGCUGGAGAUACUAUUAGACUUGAGAUCGGGAGAGGUUAGAGGUACUCCCAGGGUAGAGGUGAAAUUCUGUAAUCCUGGGAGGACCGCCUGUUGCGAAGGCGUCUGACUGGAACGAUUCUGACGGUGAGGGACGAAAGCUAGGGGCGCGAACCGGAUUAGAUACCCGGGUAGUCCUAGCUGUAAACGAUGCGGACUUGGUGUUGGGGUGGCUUUGAGCUGUCCCAGUGCCGAAGGGAAGCUGUUAAGUCCGCCGCCUGGGAAGUACGGUCGCAAGACUGAAACUUAA